CAUCACUGUAUGCACACGAACAGUAUUUUCAUACUAGCAUUAAAGUUUUCAGGUAUUGAGUUCCGUCAUAGGGGCUCAAUACCGGAACAAAACGCAUCAGUUUUGUACUAAUGCAUUCUGAAUGGAAAGCAAUCCGUUCAGUAUGCAUCAGGAUGUCUUCCGUUCAGUCAC